rnacentral:rRNA from 1 species
ACGAACGCUGGCGGCGUGCCUAACACAUGCAAGUCGAACGGAACUUCUUUAAAGGAUUUCUUCGGAAUGAAUUUGAUUAAGUUUAGUGGCGGACGGGUGAGUAACGCGUGAGUAACCUGCCUCUGAGAGGGGAAUAACAUUCUGAAAAGAAUGCUAAUACCGCAUAAUAUAUAUUUAUCGCAUGGUAGAUAUAUCAAAGAUUUAUCGCUUAGAGAUGGACUCGCGUCCGAUUAGUUAGUUGGUGAGGUAACGGCUCACCAAGACUGCGAUCGGUAGCCGGACUGAGAGGUUGAACGGCCACAUUGGGACUGAGACACGGCCCAGACUCCUACGGGAGGCAGCAGUGGGGGAUAUUGCGCAAUGGGGGAAACCCUGACGCAGCAACGCCGCGUGAAGGAUGAAGGUCUUCGGAUUGUAAACUUCUUUUAUUAAGGACGAAGAAAGUGACGGUACUUAAUGAAUAAGCUCCGGCUAACUACGUGCCAGCAGCCGCGGUAAUACGUAGGGAGCAAGCGUUGUCCGGAUUUACUGGGUGUAAAGGGUGCGUAGGCGGCUUUGCAAGUCAGAUGUGAAAUCUAUGGGCUCAACCCAUAGCCUGCAUUUGAAACUGCAGAGCUUGAGUGAAGUAGAGGCAGGCGGAAUUCCCCGUGUAGCGGUGAAAUGCGUAGAGAUGGGGAGGAACACCAGUGGCGAAGGCGGCCUGCUGGGCUUUAACUGACGCUGAGGCACGAAAGCGUGGGUAGCAAACAGGAUUAGAUACCCUGGUAGUCCACGCCGUAAACGAUGCUCACCGGCCCUUAGCGAUAAGACAGUUAGGGGUUAAUUGAAAGAAUUAAGUGAGCCACCUGGGGAGUACGUCGGCAACGAUGAAACUCAAAGGAAUUGACGGGGGCCCGCACAAGCAGUGGAGUAUGUGGUUUAAUUCGAAGCAACGCGAAGAACCUUACCAGGUCUUGACAUCCUACUAACGAGAUAGAGAUAUGUUAGGUGCCCUUCGGGGAAAGUAGAGACAGGUGGUGCAUGGUUGUCGUCAGCUCGUGUCGUGAGAUGUUGGGUUAAGUCCCGCAACGAGCGCAACCCUUGCUAUUAGUUGCUACGCAAGAGCACUCUAAUAGGACUGCCGUUGACAAAACGGAGGAAGGUGGGGACGACGUCAAAUCAUCAUGCCCCUUAUGACCUGGGCUACACACGUACUACAAUGGACAUAAACAGAGGGAAGCAAAACAGCGAUGUGGAGCAAACCCCUAAAAAUGUUCUCAGUUCAGAUUGCAGGCUGCAACCCGCCUGUAUGAAGAUGGAAUUGCUAGUAAUCGCAGAUCAGCAUGCUGCGGUGAAUACGUUCCCGGGCCUUGUACACACCGCCCGUCACACCAUGGGAGCCGGUAAUACCCGAAGUCAGUAGUCUAACCGCAAGGAGGACGCUGCCGAAGGUAGGAUUGGCGACUGGGGUG